UCGCACAGGGAGCCCUGGGCUUCACCCCCCGUCCCCAAUAGGACCCCCAGGACCCCCACCCUGGGCUAGUGGGGGGCUGUUGAAUCCCCAGCCAAGGGCUGGGAGCAGGCUGGGGGCAGAGGAGGGGGAGUUGCCCGAUUCCUGGCUGCAGCCAUCGCUCCCAGCGGGGUCCCUCAUCCUUGCCCAGCUCCCCCCUGCCCUUACCUCCGAGGAAAUCGGCCUCUGCCAGAAGUUGCUGCUCAGGCUGCCCCAAGCCCUGCAGAUCUCCGGUUUUCAUCUCGCAGCUCUCCUCGUAUUUGGAAUAAAGCGUGUCCGGGCAGGAGAAAUCCAUCACGUUGAGCAUCUCCCCCGGAGGACAUCAUCCCAUCGCUAUGGUGCAGUAGGAAGGAUUUCAACCUCCUUGGAUUGUUUUGUGACAGUCCAGCAUGUCCUGCUGUGGUCACACACUCGGCAGAAUUUGGACCUCGGUGCCUCAUCCCGCUUGGCCAUGUGUUCGAGUCCUGUUUGUUCCUGUGAAGAGGAUAAUUCUCCAGUGCGAGGAAAGUGGGAUGUAAUUGCUGGAGACGAUGUCGGAUGCGAGGCAAAGGACGGACACGGCGUCUCUGGUGCUGUGACAGCUAGUGAUGACAGAUGCAUGCUCAGCUCGCACUGAUUUCUCCUUCACUGCUCCAGUUCACGACUAAAAAUAAGCAGAAGAAGGAGCUGAGUCUGCUUCAAGGAAUUGU